UUAUGUGGCUCAGUGGUAGAAUGCUUGCCAAGCAUGUGUGAGGCACUGGGUUCGAUCCUCAGCACCACAUAAA
rnacentral:tRNA from 1 species